GACACGGCCCAGACUCCUACGGGAGGCAGCAGUGGGGAAUAUUGCACAAUGGGCGCAAGCCUGAUGCAGCGACGCCGCGUGAGGGAUGGAGGCCUUCGGGUUGUAAACCUCUUUCGCCAGUGAAGCAGGCCUGUCCCUUGUGGGUGGGUUGACGGUAGCUGGAUAAGAAGCGCCGGCUAACUACGUGCCAGCAGCCGCGGUAAUACGUAGGGCGCGAGCGUUGUCCGGAAUUAUUGGGCGUAAAGAGCUCGUAGGCGGCUGGUCGCGUCUGUCGUGAAAUCCUCUGGCUUAACUGGGGGCUUGCGGUGGGUACGGGCCGGCUUGAGUGCGGUAGGGGAGACUGGAACUCCUGGUGUAGCGGUGGAAUGCGCAGAUAUCAGGAAGAACACCGGUGGCGAAGGCGGGUCUCUGGGCCGUUACUGACGCUGAGGAGCGAAAGCGUGGGGAGCGAACAGGAUUAGAUACCCUGGUAGUCCACGCCGUAAACGUUGGGCACUAGGUGUGGGGGGCCUUUUCCGGGUUUUCCGCGCCGUAGCUAACGCAUUAAGUGCCCCGCCUGGGGAGUACGGCCGCAAGGCUAAAACUCAAAGGAAUUGACGGGGGCCCGCACAAGCGGCGGAGCAUGCGGAUUAAUUCGAUGCAACGCGAAGAACCUUACCAAGGCUUGACAUGUGCCGGUCGGCUCCGGAGACGGGGUUUCCUCCUUGUGGGGCCGGUUCACAGGUGGUGCAUGGUUGUCGUCAGCUCGUGUCGUGAGAUGUUGGGUUAAGUCCCGCAACGAGCGCAACCC
rnacentral:rRNA from 1 species